rnacentral:lncRNA from 1 species
AGAAAACAAAAAUAAUUAAACAAGAUCGGCCUCUCCCGUGCCGAUGGGAAGCCGCCGCCUCGACGGGAAGCUCGAGGCUGGCCUGCUCCCGUGGGCUGUGUGCCUGCAUCGAGAGCCGAUGGUCCCUGUCUCCCUCGUAAAGCCUCACCUCGCGGAUCGUCGCCGCCUCCACCGCUCAGCUCAUCGGAAGCCGCCACUGGUCCAGUGGUCCUCAUCUCCGUACCGCACGCGAAGAGGGCGCCCUCCCUAGUAGAGGCGCGAGAGAGCGAAGGCCGAGCCACUUCCCGGCGACGAAGAAGGGGAAGGAGGAGCCAUCACUCGGGGCGUCCACGCCACGCCACCCUCCGGAGUCGCCAGCACACAACUCAUCGGUGGCCACCGCCGCAUGUCUGCGCACGGCUCCAGCCUUUCUGCAGUUCUACAUCCCUUAUUGAGUGCUGAGAGAGCAAGAGAGGAGCAAGAGGAUAUAGAUGGAGCACGCGAAUGUUCAUGGACCCGCAAUUAACCUGUCGGCUUAGCUUAAGA